AGCCACUUAAUCCACACACAUACCGACACGUUUUUCUGGGUGCCCUGCGGGGUUGAAAGGCGGGGUAUGUGGAGGCUUAACC
rnacentral:sRNA from 1 species